GGGGCUGUAGCUCAGUGGUAGAGCACUUGCCUAGCAUGAGUGAGGCAAUUUCAAUCCUCAGCACCA
rnacentral:tRNA from 1 species